UACAGAGGGUGCGAGCGUUAAUCGGAAUUACUGGGCGUAAAGCGUGCGUAGACGGUUAUCUAAGUCGGAUGUGAAAUCCCCGGGCUCAACCUGGGAAUUGCAGUGGAUACUGGCAAGCUAGAGUGCGGUAGAGGAUGGUGGAAUUCCCGGUGUAGCGGUGAAAUGCGUAGAGAUCGGGAGGAACACCCGUGGCGAAGGCGGCCAUCUGGACCAGCACUGACGCUGAGGCACGAAAGCGUGGGGAGCAAGCAGG
rnacentral:rRNA from 1 species